rnacentral:rRNA from 1 species
GAUGAACGCUGGCGGCGUGCCUAAUACAUGCAAGUCGAGCGAACGGACGAGAAGCUUGCUUCUCUGAUGUUAGCGACGGACGGGUGAGUAACACGUGGAUAACCUACCUAUAAGACUGGGAUAACUUCGGGAAACCGUAGCUAAUACCGGAUAAUACUUUGAACCGCAUGGUUCAAAAGUGAAAGACGGUCUUGCUGUCACUUAUAGAUGGAUCCGCGCUGCAUUAGCUAGUUGGUAAGGUAACGGCUUACCAAGGCAACGAUGCAUAGCCGACCUGAGAGGGUGAUCGGCCACACUGGAACUGAGACACGGUCCAGACUCCUACGGGAGGCAGCAGUAGGGAAUCUUCCGCAAUGGGCGAAAGCCUGACGGAGCAACGCCGCGUGAGUGAUGAAGGUCUUCGGAUCGUAAAACUCUGUUAUUAGGGAAGAACAUAUGUGUAAGUAACUGUGCACAUCUUGACGGUACCUAAUCAGAAAGCCACGGCUAACUACGUG